ACGAACGCUGGCGGCGUGGAUAAGACAUGCAAGUCGAACGAGAGAAUUGCUAGCUUGCUAAUAAUUCUCUAGUGGCGCACGGGUGAGUAACACGUGAGUAACCUGCCCCCGAGAGCGGGAUAGCCCUGGGAAACUGGGAUUAAUACCGCAUAGUAUCGAAAGAUUAAAGCAGCAAUGCGCUUGGGGAUGGGCUCGCGGCCUAUUAGUUAGUUGGUGAGGUAACGGCUCACCAAGGCGAUGACGGGUAGCCGGUCUGAGAGGAUGUCCGGCCACACUGGAACUGAGACACGGUCCAGACACCAACGGGUGGCAGCAGUCGAGAAUCAUUCACAAUGGGGGAAACCCUGAUGGUGCGACGCCGCGUGGGGGAAUGAAGGUCUUCGGAUUGUAAACCCCUGUCAUGUGGGAGCAAAUUAAAAAGAUAGUACCACAAGAGGAAGAGACGGCUAACUCUGUGCCAGCAGCCGCGGUAAUACAGAGGUCUCAAGCGUUGUUCGGAAUCACUGGGCGUAAAGCGUGCGUAGGCUGUUUCGUAAGUCGUGUGUGAAAGGCGCGGGCUCAACCCGCGGACGGCACAUGAUACUGCGAGACUAGAGUAAUGGAGGGGGAACCGGAAUUCUCGGUGUAGCAGUGAAAUGCGUAGAUAUCGAGAGGAACACUCGUGGCGAAGGCGGGUUCCUGGACAUUAACUGACGCUGAGGCACGAAGGCCAGGGGAGCGAAAGGGAUUAGAUACCCCUGUAGUCCUGGCAGUAAACGGUGCACGCUUGGUGUGCGGGGAAUCGACCCCCUGCGUGCCGGAGCUAACGCGUUAAGCGUGCCGCCUGGGGAGUACGGUCGCAAGAUUAAAACUCAAAGAAAUUGACGGGGACCCGCACAAGCGGUGGAGUAUGUGGCUUAAUUCGAUGCAACGCGAAGAACCUUACCUGGGCUUGACAUGUAAUGAACAACAUGUGAAAGCAUGCGACUCUUCGGAGGCGUUACACAGGUGCUGCAUGGCCGUCGUCAGCUCGUGUCGUGAGAUGUUUGGUUAAGUCCAGCAACGAGCGCAACCCCUGUUGCCAGUUACCAGCACGUGAAGGUGGGGACUCUGGCGAGACUGCCCAGAUCAACUGGGAGGAAGGUGGGGACGACGUCAGGUCAGUAUGGCCCUUAUGCCCAGGGCUGCACACGUACUACAAUGCCCAGUACAGAGGGGGCCGAAGCCGCGAGGCGGAGGAAAUCCUAAAAACUGGGCCCAGUUCGGACUGUAGGCUGCAACCCGCCUACACGAAGCCGGAAUCGCUAGUAAUGGCGCAUCAGCUACGGCGCCGUGAAUACGUUCCCGGGUCUUGUACACACCGCCCGUCACAUCAUGGAAGCCGGUCGCAUCCGAAGUAUCUGAAGCCAACCGCAAGGAGGCAGGGUCCUAAGGUGAGACUGGUAACUGGGAUG
rnacentral:rRNA from 1 species